CUGCCUGGUAGUGGGGGACAACGUUUCGAAAGGAACGCUAAUACCGCAUACGUCCUACGGGAGAAAGCAGGGACCUUCGGGCCUUGCGCUAUCAGAUGAGCCUAGGUCGGAUUAGCUAGUUGGUGAGGUAAUGGCUCACCAAGGCGACGAUCCGUAACUGGUCUGAGAGGAUGAUCAGUCACACUGGAACUGAGACACGGUCCAGACUCCUACGGGAGGCAGCAGC
rnacentral:rRNA from 1 species